UUUUUGUGUGUAAUUUAAUUACAUAAGUACUCGUCAAGUUUCAGGAGAAAACGAGUUAGAAUAGAGAAGUUACGUGAUAAUACUAAUCACUUAAAGUGAAGAGUAACUUCGGUUUUCCGGAGAUGCUGAUGAGUAGAGUUGGCUUCGGGCGCGUAUCGGACUCCGUUCGUAGCGAUCCAAUAGCUCGUUUUGAACGGUUCAGCUAUUCUGGAACUAAUGGCGCUGACGGAUUUUAGAUCUGAUG
rnacentral:lncRNA from 1 species